rnacentral:rRNA from 1 species
UACGUAGGGGGCAAGCGUUGUCCGGAAUCAUUGGGCGUAAAGAGCGCGUAGGCGGUCCGGUAAGUCGGUUGUGAAAACUGGGGGCUCAACCCUCAGAGGCCGACCGAUACUGUCGGGCUAGAGUCCGGAAGAGGCGAGUGGAAUUCCUGGUGUAGCGGUGAAAUGCGCAGAUAUCAGGAAGAACACCGAUGGCGAAGGCAGCUCUCUGGGACGGUACUGACGCUGAGACGCGAAAGCGUGGGGAGCGAACAGG